rnacentral:rRNA from 2 species
GCGGCGGACGGGUGUAGUAACACGUGGGUAACCUGCCCAUAAGACUGGGAUAACUCCGGGAAACCGGGGCUAAUACCGGAUAACAUUUUGAACCGCAUGGUUCGAAAUUGAAAGGCGGCUUCGGCUGUCACUUAUGGAUGGACCCGCGUCGCAUUAGCUAGUUGGUGAGGUAACGGCUCACCAAGGCAACGAUGCGUAGCCGACCUGAGAGGGUGAUCGGCCACACUGGGACUGAGACACGGCCCAGACUCCUACGGGAGGCAGCAGUAGGGAAUCUUCCGCAAUGGACGAAAGUCUGACGGAGCAACGCCGCGUGAGUGAUGAAGGCUUUCGGGUCGUAAAACUCUGUUGUUAGGGAAGAACAAGUGCUAGUUGAAUAAGCUGGCACCUUGACGGUACCUAACCAGAAAGCCACGGCUAACUACGUGCCAGCAGCCGCGGUAAUACGUAGGUGGCAAGCGUUAUCCGGAAUUAUUGGGCGUAAAGCGCGCGCAGGUGGUUUCUUAAGUCUGAUGUGAAAGCCCACGGCUCAACCGUGGAGGGUCAUUGGAAACUGGGAGACUUGAGUGCAGAAGAGGAAAGUGGAAUUCCAUGUGUAGCGGUGAAAUGCGUAGAGAUAUGGAGGAACACCAGUGGCGAAAGGCGACUUUCUGGUCUGUAACUGACACUGAGGCGCGAAAGCGUGGGGAGCAAACAGGAUUAGAUACCCUG